rnacentral:rRNA from 1 species
AUUGAACGCUGGCGGCAGGCCUAACACAUGCAAGUCGAGCGGAUGAGGGAAGCUUGCUUCCCGAUUUAGCGGCGGACGGGUGAGUAAUGCCUAGGAAUCUGCCUAUUAGUGAGGGAUAACGUUCCGAAAGGAACGCUAAUACCGCAUACGUCCUACGGGAGAAAGUGGGGGAUCUUCGGACCUCACGCUAAUAGAUGAGCCUAGGUCGGAUUAGCUAGUUGGUGGGGUAACGGCUCACCAAGGCGACGAUCCGUAGCUGGUCUGAGAGGAUGAUCGGCCACACUGGAACUGAGACACGGUCCAGACUCCUACGGGAGGCAGCAGUGGGGAAUAUUGGACAAUGGGCGAAAGCCUGAUCCAGCCAUGCCGCGUGUGUGAAGAAGGUCUUCGGAUUGUAAAGCACUUUAAGUUGGGAGGAAGGGUUGUAAGCUAAUAUCUUGCAGCUUUGACGUUACCAACAGAAUAAGCACCGGCUAACUCUGUGCCAGCCGCCGCCGUAACAC